rnacentral:rRNA from 1 species
AACCCCUGUGACAUACCACUUGUUGCCUCGGCGGAUCAGCCCGCUCCCGGUAAAACGGGACGGCCCGCCAGAGGACCCCUAAACUCUGUUUCUAUAUGUAACUUCUGAGUAAAACCAUAAAUAAAUCAAAACUUUCAACAACGGAUCUCUUGGUUCUGGCAUCGAUGAAGAACGCAGCAAAAUGCGAUAAGUAAUGUGAAUUGCAGAAUUCAGUGAAUCAUCGAAUCUUUGAACGCACAUUGCGCCCGCCAGUAUUCUGGCGGGCAUGCCUGUUCGAGCGUCAUUUCAACCCUCAAGCACAGCUUGGUGUUGGGACUCGCGUUAAUUCGCGUUCCUCAAAUUGAUUGGCGGUCACGUCGAGCUUCCAUAGCGUAGUAGUAAAACCCUCGUUACUGGUAAUCGUCGCGGCCACGCCGUUAAACCCCAACUUCUGAAUGUUGACCUCGGAUCAGGUAGGAAUACCCGCUGAACUUAAG